AUAACGUAAACAUGAGAACAAAAGUGUAUUUCUAACUCCCGUCUUCUGUACGCCUUCGUCAGUUCAUGACAGUUGGCACCCCUUCCCCGUUCGUCUGCAAGACUGCAAACAUGGAUCUCUAGGUGCGGCGGCGGCGCGACCUGCUGGACCGGCGACCUCCGCUGCCUCCUCCCUCCCCCUGCCGGGCAUUCGUGCGUCUGUAUCUACCCUCAGUGCGAGUGGCGACGGCCCUUCUUUCUUCAUGGCGGCAGCACGCUCCCGUACUGGCGACCUCAUCUGGAGCGGCAGAUCCCGGCGGCAAGGCAGCCCUGGUGAGGACCGACCUGCGCACGGGAGGCCAAAGUCGUGCUGUCCCGCGGAUUAGGCUGUCAAGCGAUUCUGGUAUAUCAGGGCGCAACAAAAGAUUGAAGUAUUCAGGUUUCUGAUUUUUUUUGGAUUGAUCGGGGAUCCAGCCCUGCGGCCAUAGGCUCCAGAGAUUCCAGAUUGAUCUGUUCAGCAAUUCUGUUACAAAGAGGAACUUGGAACUUGCGGUGUUCGAUAGAAUGUGCAAGCAAAGCGUUUCAGGUUGCAAGCAAAGUGGUUGUGGAUCCCCUCAUCGUGCCUUCUAAAAUCCAUUUAGGCCACCUCGCCAUUCCAAUCAAUCCUGUCUCAUCCACUCGUCAGAUCGAGCGACCGCCGCACCAUCGUCGUCAUCUUCGCCGGCGUUUAUCCCUUCUGAAUGAAUAGGAAGGGGCUUUCCAUCCUUGAUGGGGUCAAAGAGAUAUUUGCCAGUUGCCAUUCUAGAUUUUCCCAAAAGAGAUCAUAUGAUCUUAAUUUUAUAGUUAUUUUAGAUGAUUUAGGCAGUGAGAUUGUUACAUGAAUGGUCCGGUGUUGUUCACCUUCUAAUUCCUGUGAUCUGUAGACUGUGAUCCUUUCACGAACUGCUCGCUGUCUUGUUCCUGAUGCAGGGGAUGCAGGGGAGGGUGAUAGGGCUGUUUUUUUUUGUGCCUGCUACAUAGGCAUUCAGGAAGCACAGUAAGCACCCGAGAUUGAAGUUCGAUUUAUUGGGCAAACGUGCUUGCGAUCUCCAGUUAAAGCAAUGAGGAUGUUCAAUGAUAAGCUGCUGCACAGCAAUUUUUGACGUAUAACUGAUGUAAAUGGCUAGUACAGGACGAACACUAACACUAUGCUCACUUGGGCUGCGGACGAGCAUGCAACUGCAAGUUGUUAGGUGUGACUACUUCCCAAUUCAUCUUGAUGAAUAUAUUCUGAUCAUUCUGCAUCAGUCCCCAUUUUGGUAACUGGCUAACUGUAAGGUCACAUUGGUCAUGGUUUCAUCAGGCCUGGAAAUAACUUUGAUCAACAUACAGUAAAUGCCUGGAUUACCCCACUAGUCAGUGAAAAAAUGGAUUAUACCAUACCUAAGAGUGCCAGAUAGUUAAAUCUAGUUUAGUCCUUUUUUUAGGGGAUGUGGCUUCCUUGGCAAAUGCAGGGGAGACUUCAAUUCGACCAGCAGCUUCCAGUAUUCUGGAGAUUUUGAUGCCACAGAUGGGUAGUAGAAUAAAUGCUCCACACAUGCUGCUACUGAACUGGAGAUGCUGUCUGCAGUGGCAUCUAAGAAUCCCAACCAAAGUGAGAAUGAUGAACGAAUGUAUGCUGCAAACUGCGCCUUAGUUUAGGUCCUGAGCUGUUCUUCACGCAACAAAGAAGUACACUGGCUUUGAUGGUCUUCAAUCCUGAUGUCUGGUGUCAACAAAUACAAAGACCUACUGUCUUUUUUGUAGUACCUUUGAUUUGUUUGGUUUCGACAGACAAAUUUAUUUCUGUUCUAUGCACACAAAAAACUCGAUAAGGGUGCUAUGCUUAGUCUCAUUUUGCUAUUUUCUA